UACGGAGGGAGCUAGCGUUGUUCGGAAAUACUGGGCGUAAAGCGCACGUAGGCGGCGCAGCAAGUCAGGGGCGAAAUCCCGGGGCUCAACCCCGGAACUGCCCUUGAAACUGCAGUGCUAGAAUUCUGGAGAGGCGAGUGGAAUUCCGAGUGUAGAGGUGAAAUUCGUAGAUAUUCGGAAGAACACCAGUGGCGAAGGCGACUCGCUGGACAGACAUUGACGCUGAGGUGCGAAAGCGUGGGGAGCAAACAGG
rnacentral:rRNA from 1 species